AUAUAAUAAGCAUUAACUUUCAGUUUGAUAUUUUAUUGUUAGUUGACGAGAAUGUGUACAUCUACAUUUUGCAAGAAAUCUAUCUGGGUUAUAAGAUAAACUUUGAAAUGAUCCUCCACUCCUUUACCAACUCAAGCACUAUGAUCAUCUACUCAUCAAGCACUAUGAUCAUCUACUCAUCAAACACUAUGAUCACCCACUCAUUUACCAAAUCAAGCACCAUCUUU
rnacentral:lncRNA from 1 species